UGCGGAGGGUGCAAGCGUUAUCCGGAUUCACUGGGUUUAAAGGGUGCGUAGGCGGGCAGGUAAGUCAGUGGUGAAAUCUCCGAGCUUAACUCGGAAACUGCCGUUGAUACUACUUGUCUUGAAUAUUGUGGAGGUAAGCGGAAUAUGUCAUGUAGCGGUGAAAUGCUUAGAUAUGAACAUAGAACACCAAUUGCGAAGGCAGCUUACUACACAAUGAUUGACGCUGGAGGCAACGAAAGCGUGGGGAUCAAACAGG
rnacentral:rRNA from 1 species